UACGUAGGCAGCAAGCGUUGUUCGGAAUUACUGGGCGUAAAGAGUACGUAGGUGGUUUGCCAAGUCCGAUGUGAAAUCUCCUGGCUUAACUGGGAGGGUGCGUUAGAAACUGGCAGGCUUGAAUGUGGGAGAGGAGAGCGGAAUUCCUGGUGUAGCGGUGAAAUGCGUAGAUAUCAGGAGGAACGCCUGUGGUGUAGACGGCUCUCUGGACCAUUAUUGACACUGAGGUACGAAAGCGUGGGUAGCAAACAGG
rnacentral:rRNA from 1 species